rnacentral:rRNA from 1 species
UGGGGAAUUUUGGACAAUGGGCGAAAGCCUGAUCCAGCAAUGCCGCGUGUGUGAAGAAGGCCUUCGGGUUGUAAAGCACUUUUGUCCGGAAAGAAAUCCUUGGCUCUAAUACAGUCGGGGGAUGACGGUACCGGAAGAAUAAGCACCGGCUAACUACGUGCCAGCAGCCGCGGUAAUACGUAGGGUGCAAGCGUUAAUCGGAAUUACUGGGCGUAAAGCGUGCGCAGGCGGUUUGCUAAGACCGAUGUGAAAUCCCCGGGCUCAACCUGGGAACUGCAUUGGUGACUGGCAGGCUAGAGUAUGGCAGAGGGGGGUAGAAUUCCACGUGUAGCAGUGAAAUGCGUAGAGAUGUGGAGGAAUACCGAUGGCGAAGGCAGCCCCCUGGGCCAAUACUGACGCUCAUGCACGAAAGCGUGGGGAGCAAACAGGAUUAGAUACCCUGGUAGUCCACGCCCUAAACGAUGUCAACUAGGUUGUUGGGGAUUCAUUUCCUUAGUAACGUAGCUAACGCGUGAAGUUGACCGCCUGGGGAGUACGGUCGCAAGAUUAAAACUUAAAUGAAUUGACGGGGUCAUAGCUGUUUCCU